GGGGAGGUGGAGGCGGAGGCGUCUCCAGCGGGAGCGGGAGGGCCUGAAGGACCUGUACGCCAGCUUCAGACACGGACACGCACAACCAAACGUCAUCAGCACAAUGAGAGUGACGGGGCAACACACAGGCAAGCGAGACUAAGUGAGUCUGAGCAUUCAUGACGUGCAGCAUGCCGUUGAUUAUAUAAAAUGGUUUAGUGCUACAAGGUGACUGUUAAGAGGUGUGCUACAAGGUGACCGUUAAGAGGUGUGCUACAAGGCGACUGUUAAGAGGUGUGCUACAAGGCGACUGUUAAGAGGUGUGCUACAAGGUGACUGUUAAGAGGUGUGCUACAAGGUGACUGUUAAGAGGUGUGCUACAAGGCGACCGUUAAGAGGUGUGCUACAUGGGGAGUUUAAUCAAAUCCACAUUACCACCACGUGAGUGAGGACGGCACGUCUACCACCAACAAAGACGGCUACAUCACCUGAUAAACCUACCUUUGUCCUUCAAGCAUCAGCUUUAGCGACCGGCAAAUGAAAAAGUUGCAGUUAAUGCAAACAUACUGACUCCAGAAUAGAUAUCCAAGGCAAACGUUACAGUGCGACGCGUCCGGUGUGGUGCCAGUUACCCAUUUCUCCGUCAGUGACCAAAUGGACCAGCUCCUCGUCCGUCACCUCUGUGGUGGGGGGCGGCGGAACCGAGGGGCGCUGGUCUCUG
ensembl:lncRNA